UUCUCUAUAAAGCUGGUUGCAAGAUAUAUAUAUAUAUAUAUAGAUAUAUAUAUAUAUAUAUAUAUAUAUAUGUUAGAGUGGUCCAUGAGAAUUUGUAUGGGCAUGCUCCCAUCUCUCUGUUUCUCUCACUAUAUUUUCACUUCAACAAAAGAAAAAUAAAGGGAUAUGAGAUCUGAGAAGAUUUGAAGGUUUUGUGUUUAAUCUCGCAAGUCCUGGUCAUGCUUUUCCACAGCUUUCUUGAACUUCUUUGCCUUGCUUAAUCUGUGUAUAUAUAGAUCACUACAUGUACAGCUCCUAUAUAUAUAAAUAUAUGUAUGUAUAGCGCCAUGGAAGCUCAAGAAAGCUGUGGGAGAACAUGGCAAUUCAGGAUUUUUUUGGGCUCUUUUCUUGCUGUUACGGUCAAGACCUCUCCUUUCCUUCAUGGAAUGCAUACAAAAACCUUUCAUCUUCUUCCUCCCUGUAUGGAUCGUGGUAAUUCUAUGAAUUCUCUUGUCAUUUAGACCCCUUUUUUGCAGUUUUUUUAAUGGUUUUCUUUAAUUUUCCUUUAAGGAAAAUUCUCUUGCAAUCCAUGACCAUUUUUUUUUCUUGAUAAAGAUUUGAUUUUUUGCGGAAUUAUGAUCUGGGGUUUCAUCCUCUAUCAUUUUCCUUUUUUUGGCUGUUGGAGAAAAGAUAAGUUAGGCUUCAAACCAUUUAAACCAUGCACGAACAGGGUAACAGAAUAUUUUGCAAGUUGUAUCUAGUUUUUGGAAAUUGCUUUCCUUAAAAUUAAUAUAAAUCCUGAUCAUUGAAUAAAGAUUGUGAAAAAAAGGUUGAAUUUUGUGUUUCUUGCAAAGAAGAUUUCUACCUUUCCUUUUUAUCGUUAAUGAUAAUAGUUCUUCCUCUUGCCUUUUGGUUUAUUUCUAACAUGAUCUCGUACAUUUCCGUGAAAAAGGUUAAAAUUUGUCACUCUCCCACUUUCUGACAUCAGUCUUUUUUUACCUCUACUCUUUCUCUUUUCUGGUGGGAUCUCCACAGUGGUGGUUGAGGACUUGUGCAAUUUGCAAAUCAUACAAUGGUGUAUAAUUCUGUGUGUAAAUUAUUGGGGUUUGCUUCCAUUUCUUAGCUGUCUAGCUGAUGGUCUCAAAACUUUACAAACCUACACAAUUAUCAUCCCUCCUUUAGCCCUCUUUCUGAAAAUAUUAUUGUCCUUUUGAAUCUUGAAUAUCUAACUCAAAGCCUUUAAUUUGUACUUGGUUCUGCAUUGCAGUCCAUGAAAAUUCCCAUAAUUCUUACAUAUCCCUUUUGUUGAUUUCUGUGUUAAGUUGCAGAGAAUUAUUUCAACUUGGAGUGGUUGGUGAGAUUCCUAAUUAUCUUUCACAUUGAUCAAGAGCUUUCACUUCAAAAAGUAAUUAAUUAUCAUGUCAUAUAUUAUCAAUUUUAUUUUAUUUUUAACAAUUCCAAAUUAACAGUUUCUGACCAAAACAUAGCGAAUCACAACAUAUAUAUACAUGCUCUUUAUAAUAUUUUGUUUUUGACACUAUAUAUAUAUAUAUAUAUAUAUAUAUUUCAAAACUGUUUCAAGGCAAGUGUUAAUUUAUCAUAGGCUAAAAGAGAUCGUAGAACAAUAUUUGUUUUUUUCACUUUAGAGAUCAUGCAGUGCCGAUUUUGUAUCUACUAUAUAUGAUUCUUGGCAUACUAUGAUGAUCAGAUGGGGUCCAGCCAAUUAGGACAAUCUACAACUUGCAAAACAUCUCAUUGGCUAAUUACAGCCAAGGGAAUGAAAAGAUGAGCUCGUGCUUUGAAAGAAGAAGAACAACUACACCACAAAUUAAAGCUAGCUGGCUGUGUGUUUAUGGUGGAUCAUAAUUGAAGUGGGGGAAAAGACCUAUAAGAUAAAAAUAAUGAAGCUUUGUUAAGGGAAUCUUUACCUAAUCCAAGACAUGAAAUGAAAAGGCCUAUUGCUUUUAAUGUCUAAUAUGAAAGAAUGCUGAUGCAUAAGGGGGAGGUUCACCAAAGGUCCAAAACUAGUUUAUAACUGGGCAGACAGAGGGGCAUGGCAGAUCUGAACACCUUAAUAGAAAUAUUGUUAUAAUGCACUGCUUAUAGUUUCUAAUAUUAGACCAAUAAUACUCAUUUAGCAUUCAAGAUAUGCCUAGUCGUCCAUUAGUGUAUAUCCAUUGAAGUCAGCUUUGUGGGAUUAUACAGCUAAAGGUGCAUGGAUUUUAAUUAAAGCAUAUAAUAAAAAACCAGAAAUAAUUCAGAUAUUUAUGAACUGGAACACAUAUGACUUUUGGAAUGCAUGGAUGUCAUUGUUCAUUGAGUAAUACUUAAGCUAGUAGUCGAAGCAAGCUUUGUUUCUAAAAACAAGAAAGAAUCUCUGAAAUGCUGUCCCAACUAUGGACAAUCGUCCAAAUUUCUUUGGUGGGAUGACAUUCAGGCUCCUUGCUUUGGCCAUUAGGUAUAGAACACCACUGUUUUUACCAUUUUUCAUACAUGACCUGAUUUCUCAAGUUAAUGACUUCUCAUAUGUCCUUUAAAGUAUUUUCUGUAGUAAAUAUGACUUCUUCUUUUUCUGGAUGUGAAAUGGGUUCAUUAAGAAAAUUCGAAAGAUUUCACAAAAGAAGUCACCAAGGAGAUGACUACCUAGCCAACCAAACAGACAUAUUACCACAAGAAAGGACCCUCCUUGUAUAUGAAGGCCGGAAAGCUAGCUGAAGAGAUAUGAUAUGGCAGCUAGGGCAUCAUGUCAAGGUACGUGUCUCCCAGCACAACAGUCUUUCCUAAUAAAUAAGGUGAAAUUCUGUUCCAUGAAAUUAACUACUCCAUCGUUUGACAAUCAUGUGACAUGCUGUGUUUAAAGAUCAGGUUCACAGUGGUGGAGCAUCAUCAUUCAAUAGCAGCAGAUGAUCUUCUAUAUGCUGAUUUGAAGAUAUUAUUAUUAUUAUUAUUAUUAUUAUUAUUUAUGAAUAAAUGUAUCCAAAUUUAGGAAGACUUUUUCAGUACUGCGCACUUGAUAUUCAAUUUAUUUCUCUCUACAACCCAUCUUGAUUAGAUUUAAAUUGAUGUAUUCUAUGUUCUUUUGACCUGCAUUUAAGCAAUAAUAAUGCUUGUACAUGUUUCUGAUAA